rnacentral:rRNA from 1 species
AGAGGAGCUUGCUCCUUGGGUGACGAGUGGCGGACGGGUGAGUAAUGUCUGGGAAACUGCCCGAUGGAGGGGGAUAACUACUGGAAACGGUAGCUAAUACCGCAUAACGUCGCAAGACCAAAGAGGGGGACCUUCGGGCCUCUUGCCAUCGGAUGUGCCCAGAUGGGAUUAGCUAGUAGGUGGGGUAACGGCUCACCUAGGCGACGAUCCCUAGCUGGUCUGAGAGGAUGACCAGCCACACUGGAACUGAGACACGGUCCAGACUCCUACGGGAGGCAGCAGUGGGGAAUAUUGCACAAUGGGCGCAAGCCUGAUGCAGCCAUGCCGCGUGUAUGAAGAAGGCCUUCGGGUUGUAAAGUACUUUCAGCGAGGAGGAAGGUGUUGUGGUUAAUAACCACAGCAAUUGACGUUACUCGCAGAAGAAGCACCGGCUAACUCCGUGCCAGCAGCCGCGGUAAUACGGAGGGUGCAAGCGUUAAUCGGAAUUACUGGGCGUAAAGCGCACGCAGGCGGUCUGUCAAGUCGGAUGUGAAAUCCCCGGGCUCAACCUGGGAACUGCAUCCGAAACUGGCAGGCUAGAGUCUUGUA